rnacentral:rRNA from 1 species
GACGAACGCUGGCGGCGCGCUUAACACAUGCAAGUCGAGCGAGAACCGGGACUUCGGUCCUGGGGACAGCGGCGAACGGGUGAGUAACACGUGGAUAACCUGCCCUCGGCACCGGGAUAGCCCGAGGAAACUCGGAUUAAUACCGGAUAGCCCUUCCGACUUUCGAGUCGGUCCGAAAAGGUAAGCUUCGGCCUCUGGCCGAGGAUGGGUCCGCGGCGGAUUAGCUUGUUGGUGGGGUAACGGCCUACCAAGGCAUCGAUCCGUAGCUGGUCUGAGAGGACGAUCAGCCACACUGGGACUGAGACACGGCCCAGACUCCUACGGGAGGCAGCAGUGGGGAAUCUUGCGCAAUGGGCGAAAGCCUGACGCAGCGACGCCGCGUGAGGGAAGAAGGCCUUCGGUUGU